GACGAACGCUGGCGGCGCGCCUAACACAUGCAAGUCGAACGAGCGAGAGAGAGCUUGCUUUCUCGAGCGAGUGGCGAACGGGUGAGUAACGCGUGAGGAACCUGCCUCAAAGAGGGGGACAACAGUUGGAAACGACUGCUAAUACCGCAUAAGCCCACGGUGCCGCAUGGCACAGAGGGAAAAGGAGCAAUCCGCUUUGAGAUGGCCUCGCGUCCGAUUAGCUAGUUGGUGAGGUAACGGCCCACCAAGGCGACGAUCGGUAGCCGGACUGAGAGGUUGAACGGCCACAUUGGGACUGAGACACGGCCCAGACUCCUACGGGAGGCAGCAGUGGGGAAUAUUGCACAAUGGGGGAAACCCUGAUGCAGCGACGCCGCGUGGAGGAAGAAGGUCUUCGGAUUGUAAACUCCUGUUGUUGGGGAAGAUAAUGACGGUAC
rnacentral:rRNA from 1 species